CGAAAGCCUGAUGCAGCAACGCCGCGUGCGGGAAGAAGGCCCUAGGGUUGUAAACCGCUUUCAGCAGGGAAGAAGAUGACGGUACCUGUAGAAGAAGGUGCGGCCAACUACGUGCCAGCAGCCGCGGUGACACGUAGGCACCAAGCGUUGUCCGGAUUUAUUGGGCGUAAAGAGCUCGUAGGCGGUUCGGUAAGUCGGGUGUGAAAAACUCUGGGCUCAACCCAGAGCCGCCACCCGAUACUGCUGUGACUUGAGUUCGGUAGGGGAGCGGGGAAUUCCUGGUGUAGCGGUGAAAUGCGCAGAUAUCAGGAGGAACACCAGUGGCGAAGGCGCCGCUCUGGGCCGAGACUGACGCUGAGGAGCGAAAGCGUGGGUAGCAAACAGGAUUAGAUACCCUGGUAGUCCACGCCGUAAACGUUGGGCACUAGGUGUGGGUCUCAACCAACGAGAUCCGCGCCGUCGCUAACGCAUUAAGUGCCCCGCCUGGGGAGUAGGGUCGCAAGACUA
rnacentral:rRNA from 1 species